GAUGAAGAACGUAGCGAAAUGCGAUAAGUAAUGUGAAUUGCAGAGUUCAGUGAAUCAUCGAAUCUUUGAACGCACAUUGCGCCCGUCAGUAUUCUGACGGGCAUGCCUGUCCGAGCGUCAUUUCAACCCUCAAGCACUGCUUGGCGUUGGCGGAUUGCGUGCCCUCGCGGCGCAGCAACCGCCCAAAUACAGUGGCGGUCCCGCUGCGGCUCCCUUUGCGUAGUAACUCACCUCGCACUGGACCGGGCGGCGGCCUGCCGUAAAACCCCAACUCACGAAAUGUUGACCUCGGAUCAGGUAGGAAUACCCGCUGAACUUAAGCAUACAAUAAGCGGAGGA
rnacentral:misc_RNA from 1 species